GUGGGGAAUAUUGGACAAUGGGCGCAAGCCUGAUCCAGCCAUGCCGCGUGAGUGAUGAAGGCCCUAGGGUUGUAAAGCUCUUUCAGUGGGGACGAUAAUGACGGUACCCACAGAAGAAGCCCCGGCUAACUUCGUGCCAGCAGCCGCGGUAAUACGAAGGGGGCUAGCGUUGUUCGGAAUUACUGGGCGUAAAGCGCACGUAGGCGGAUAUUUAAGUCGGGGGUGAAAUCCCGGGGCUCAACCCCGGAACUGCCUUCGAUACUGGGUAUCUUGAGUGUGGUAGAGGUGAGUGGAAUUGCGAGUGUAGAGGUGAAAUUCGUAGAUAUUCGCAGGAACACCAGUGGCGAAGGCGGCUCACUGGACCACAACUGACGCUGAGGUGCGAAAGCGUGGGGAGCAAACAGGAUUAGAAACCCUAGUAGUCC
rnacentral:rRNA from 1 species